GUGCUCAUUUCAGCAGCACAUACUUUAUAUUAAAUUGGAAAGAUACAGAAAUUGGAAUUGCCCUGCUCAAGGAUGGCAUGGAAAUUUGUUAAAUGUCUCAUCAUUUU